GCUGUUUCUCAGAAGAGGUAGCCCUGGGAGAGACAGGGGUUCAAAUACCUCCUUACUCAGCUCUGAAGCUCACUGGGUGACCUGGGGCCAGGUUGUGGGGAUUAAAUGAGAAGGCGAGAACUAUGUGUGUCAUCUUGAGCUCCUUGGAGAAAAUCCCAAGUGUGAAGAAGAUUUUGCAACUUGCAUUUCGUUGUGAGUUUGUCCCUUGCCUCAAAUUAUUCCAAAACACGAGGAAUGGGUUAAAAUGCCAAGUAAUCUCUUUUGAACUAUUUCAAACUUUGAACCCCACAGACUGUAUGUGAAUGAAGUGAAGGCUGUGGGAUCGGGAGUGUUGGUACAGAGAGGACAACCCCAUUGGAGGACAGUGGAGAAUCUCGAUUCUGUGGCCCAAUGAUGGCCAGCAUGCCUUUGAGCGGCAGCAGCAGCAGCAGCAAGAAGAGGAGGAUUUGUCCUCCCUGUGCAGGAGGCUCAGAACAUGACUUUGGGAGCUGUUGCGGGCAAUUGUAUUUUGCAUGGAGCUUCUUCAUCCUACUUGCCAGUUCAAGUGUGAGGUUUCCCUGCUGACUAACCCAAAUCUGACUUUGAAAGGGUUAGCUCCUUGAACCCGGCUACCUUGUGUAUCCGUUCCAGCCUGUGACCUGGUGUGUGACAUAAGAAGUGGGAAAGAAGCCAUACGAUCCGAAACCUGUGGUGGACAUUGAAUCUUCAAACUCUCUGGGGCUGGCUGCACCGGAAGCCACCGGUCCCACAGAGGAAGAAGUUGGACCGUGGACCUUAUAAUUUUUCGGUGGAUCUGAAAAUCCUAUUCAGGAAACAACCAGUGGGAAGGAAAUCCUCGUCCCAGGCCUCAGAAGAAACACGUUCUUUCAAGGGCCAAGUGACUGUUUCAGGACAAAUAAAGUGAAUGUUGCAGAUGUCGUCUUCCCGGCGGCUCCUUUCCCGGCUGAUGACAUUCUUCCAGGGGUCUUCUUUUCUCCAGACGUCUUUCCCAGGUUCCAGCAGAUAGGCCACCGUUCAUGCAAGAAAGAGAGAAAAGAGAUUCUGUUAGAAAGGGUACUAAACCUCAUGAAUGUUAGACCCUCUUGUUGCCCACCCCAAACAAAGAAAUGGAGGAAAGUUGCUGCUGGGGGAUU